UAACUCAGUAUGAUAGCUUGAUUAUAUCCAUAAAGACCAUCUUUCCAAUUAAGAUCCCAUUCACAGGUAGAAGAGGUGAUGAUUUGUACAUGUCUUUUGGGCAACACAAAUCAAUCUAUGAUAAUCAAACCAAUUGCAUUGGAUAAUUGCUGUAGAGCCCAGAGGAGAGAUGGGCACUAAAUACAUGGGGAUGGACGAGACUGACUGGAAGUGUGCCUGGAGAGAGGACGUGAAUGUUCUGAGACACGCCUUGAGGGAUGUGACGUAUCACGAUGAUAGCGGAAGAGAAACCCGCACAGGAACUGGGAAGAGGAAGGCAAAGGAGGAAGAAGAGAAACUACUGUAUGGAAGCUCGGAAGUCAAAGAAACCACCGCAGGAUGACCAGUGUUCCCGACAGCUUUAGAGAGGGAGGUCGAGUAGGAAAAGGAAUCCACGGGAAUCGGCAGUAAGACCUUUUCAAAGGGCAGAAGUCAAGCUGGGUCAACAAUCUCCAGACAAUCUCCAGACAACCAACUAACUCCAGAUGUGGAAGUUUCAGAGAAAAGCCAGAAACAACA